rnacentral:rRNA from 1 species
GACGAACGCUGGCGGCGUGCCUAAUACAUGCAAGUCGAGCGGACUUGACAGAGCUUGCUCUGUUCAAGUUAGCGGCGGACGGGUGAGUAACACGUGGGCAACCUGCCCUGCAGAUUGGGAUAACUCCGGGAAACCGGGGCUAAUACCGAAUAACAUUGGAAACCUCAUGGUUUCCUUUUAAAAGGCGGCUUCGGCUGUCACUGCAGGAUGGGCCCGCGGCGCAUUAGCUAGUUGGUGAGGUAACGGCUCACCAAGGCGACGAUGCGUAGCCGACCUGAGAGGGUGAUCGGCCACACUGGGACUGAGACACGGCCCAGACUCCUACGGGAGGCAGCAGGAGGGAAUCUUCCGCAAUGGACGAAAGUCUGACGGAGCAACGCCGCGUGAGUGAAGAAGGUUUUCGGAUCGUAAAACUCUGUUGUCAGGGAAGAACAAGUAUGGGAGUAACUGCCCGUACCUUGACGGUACCUGGCCAGAAAGCCACGGCUAACUACGUGCCAGCAGCCGCAGUAACAC